GACGAACGCUGGCGGCGUGCUUAACACAUGCAAGUCGAACGGAAAGGCCCUGCUUUUGUGGGGUGCUCGAGUGGCGAACGGGUGAGUAACACGUGAGUAACCUGCCCUUGACUUUGGGAUAACUUCAGGAAACUGGGGCUAAUACCGGAUAGGAGCUCCUGCUGCAUGGUGGGGGUUGGAAAGUUUCGGCGGUUGGGGAUGGACUCGCGGCUUAUCAGCUUGUUGGUGGGGUAGUGGCUUACCAAGGCUUUGACGGGUAGCCGGCCUGAGAGGGUGACCGGCCACAUUGGGACUGAGAUACGGCCCAGACUCCUACGGGAGGCAGCAGUGGGGAAUAAUGCACCAUGGGCGGAAGCCUGAUGCAGCAACGCCGCGUGCGGGAUGACGGCCUUCGGGUUGUAAACCGCUUUCGCCUGUGACGAAGCGUGAGUGACGGUAAUGGGUAAAGAAGCACCGGCUAACUACGUG
rnacentral:rRNA from 1 species